rnacentral:rRNA from 1 species
CAAUAGCGUAUAUUAAAGUUGUUGCGGUUAAAAAGCUCGUAGUUGGAUUUCUGCCGAGGACGACCGGUCCGCCCUCUGGGUGUGUAUCUGGUUUGGCCUGGGCAUCUUCUUGGAGAACGUAGCUGCACUUGACUGUGUGGUGCGGUGUCCAGGACUUUUACUUUGAGGAAAUUAGAGUGUUCACGGCAGGCAAACGCCUUGAAUAUAUUAGCAUGGAAUAAUAACAUAGGAUCUUCGUCCUAUUUUGUUGGUUUCUAGGGCUAAGAUAAUGAUUAAUAGGGAUAAUUGGGGGCAUCUGUAUCAACGCGUCAGAGGUGGAAUUCUUGGAUUGCGUUGCGACAAACUACUGCGAAAGCAUUUGCCAAGGAUGUUUUCAUUGA